rnacentral:rRNA from 1 species
UGGGGAAUAUUGCACAAUGGGGGAAACCCUGAUGCAGCGACGCCGCGUGAGCGAAGAAGUAUUUCGGUAUGUAAAGCUCUAUCAGCAGGGAAGAAAUUGACGGUACCUGAGUAAGAAGCUCCGGCUAAAUACGUGCCAGCAGCCCGGUAAUAUCGUGCU